GAAAGCAGGCUGCACUUUCCUCAUUUGCACCUCCAUCUCCUUUGACCGGGCCCCUGACCAAUCUGGAGGGCAGGGAUAUGUUUUCAACAUUUUUGGAGGUAGGGUCCCAAUAUGUAGCCCAGAACUCAUUAUAGUCUAGGCUGACAUCAUUCUUAAGCAGUUCCGCCUGUCUCUCAGCCUCUCAUGAGCCACAACACCUGUCACAAUUUCAUGGUCCCACUCCUUGGCUUAGUGUUGCUUUGGCCCUGCUUAGUCCAGGAUGCCCUGCACCAGAUGCUGCUUGUCCUGACCAUGCACACCCCCAGCCCAGUGUCUUCUCCACAGCUCCGUAGGGGAGGUCCAGUGGGAGGCUGAGUUCUUUGCACUUCAGGACAGCAACCAGAGGCUGGCAGGGGCCCUUCGAGAGGCCAACGCGGCCGCCACUCAGUGGAGGCAGCAGCUGGAGGUCCAGCGUGCAGAGGCUGAACACUUGCGGCAGCGGGUGGCUGAGCUGGAGGCCCAGGUGGCUGCAGAGCCGGUCCGGGCAGGAGAGAAAGAAGCAACCAGCCAGUCGGUGGAGCAGCUGGAGGCUCGGGUGCAGACCAAGGACCAGGACCUGGAGACCCGGAAUGCAGAACUGGAGCAGCAGCUGCGGGCGAUGGAAAGCAACCUGGAGGAGGCGCGGGCCGA
rnacentral:lncRNA from 1 species